CACGUGACCCCGGUGCCGUCGUUCCUCUCUAAAGGAAGGGGCGAAAGUAAAGCGAUCGUGCGAUGCGAGGUGGGAAAAGAAGCCCCUUUGCAAAAGUAAAAGUGUUUUUCUCAAAUUCAGGGAUCAAGUUUUUAUUAGCUCCACGUCAAACUCGGGUGCUUGAGUUUCAAGGUAACAGACACAAUAGGAAAAAUAUUAUAUUUUGAACCAUUUGGGGUAAACCAUUUCAUGAAAUCUGAUUUUGAAUGGGGAAUGCCAAAAUCCCUGAAACAACCUGUUUCACAUUUUGGAAGUUUUAUAGCAUAAAGAGUGACUGAGAUGUUCAAAAUCAAAAUGAAAUAAAUUGGGACAGCUACAUCUGUUUUUAAGUGCCCUGAUUUGGGAAGGAAAACUUCCCUAAUUUGAACAACUUAUCUUUAUUGCCACUGCAGUUCUUUAAUGUAUGAUAAAGAAGUUUAAAUCAACCAAGACACAUUUUCCCACCCCAGGAAUCUAAUACAAUGCAAUUGUUUGUGCUAAAUAGCUUUUAUUGAAGAGAAAGGAGGAAACAAUUACAUAUCUGUUUUCAUCUUUAAGGCUCAUUUGUUGACUUCAGGUUCUGUUCCCUCAUAAGAAAUUGACACCUCUCAUCAGAACAGUGGAGUGUUGAUUACUUGCUUUGUUCUUCUCUGCAUUAGGGAAGUCCUCAAAAUAAAAUUUAAAACCCAACAUACAGUUCAUUUACUGAACUAUUGAAAGAGUCCAGUAAUUCCCCAUAAAGAAUAUUAUAAAACAAGCAGUCUAACUACUUCGCCAAAGCUUUUAGCUCUUUGAGCUAUAAUCUCUGACAAGAGUACUGAAAAAGUCCAUCUUCCUUUUUAUUUCCCAUUGAAGUAGAAUCUUACAGAAGGCAGGCUAUGAUUUGGUAUGCAAGAAAUAAACAUACCACUAGCAGUAACAGAGUUCUCAAAACUGCACCACCAUAACUGCUUACAUCAGCCUUGUGCAGGUUAAACAUAACUGGCAAUGUAUUUUGACAACUUCACUCUUCCAUUUAAAAAAUAAAUA